CGAUUCUCCUACACAGAAGGCGAAUACUCGCAAAGAUUCAACACUCAGGAAUCUGUUGACCCUACGUGGUCCAACAUGGGAGCUGGUUUAGGCCACAAUAUGCCUCCACUGCGUGGUCGUGACCACAUGCAAUCGCAAUACCCAACACAGGAAUCUUUAAUCCCGACAUGGCCCGAUAUGACGCAGCAACCACAAUACUACGGCAGCACUUCCCAACAACCUCGCAAUGAUGUUACC